rnacentral:rRNA from 1 species
CCGCCCGUCACACCAUGGGAGUUGAUUGCUCCAGAAGUGGCUGAGCUAACCGCAAGGAAGCAGGUCCCCAAGGAGUGGUCGAUGACUGGGGUG